rnacentral:rRNA from 1 species
UACAGAGGUCCCAAGCGUUGUUCGGAUUCAUUGGGCGUAAAGGGUGCGUAGGUGGCAUGGUAAGUCGGAUGUGAAAUCCCGGGGCUCAACCCCGGAACUGCAUUCGAUACUGCUGCGCUAGAGUACUGGAGAGGAGAUUGGAAUUUACGGUGUAGCAGUGAAAUGCGUAGAUAUCGUAAGGAAGACCAGUGGCGAAGGCGGGUCUCUGGACAGUUCCUGACGCUGAGGCACGAAGGCCAGGGGAGCAAACGGG